ensembl:lncRNA
GGGAUUUGAGAAAACGCGUGAUUUUCGUUAAAUGUUGGAUUCUCGAAGAGAAAACGCGUGAUUUUCGCUUAAAUGGGGUAUUUGCGAAGAGAAAACGCGUGAUUUUCAGGUUAAAUGGAGGAUUUCCGAAGAGAAAACGCAUGAUUUUCUGGUUAAAUGGGGGAUUUCCGAAGAGAAAACGCGUGAUUUUCGCUUAAAUGGGGGAUUUGAGAAAACGCGUGAUUUUCGCUUAAAUGUUGGAUUCUCGAAGAGAAAACGCGUGAUUUUCAAGUUAAAUGGAGGAUUUCCGAAGAGAAAACGCAUGAUUUUCUGGUUAAAUGGGGGAUUUCCGAAGAGAAAACGCGUGAUUUUCGCUUAAAUGGGGGAUUUGAGAAAACAAAACGCGUGAUUUUCACUUAAAUGGGGGAUUUGCGAAGAGAAAACGCGUGAUUUUCAAUUAAAUGGGGGAUUUCCGAAGAGAAAAUGCGUGAUUUUCGCUUAAAUGG